CUAGUACGAGAGGACCGGAGUGGACGAACCUCUGGUGUUCCGGUUGUCACGCCAGUGGCAUUGCCGGGUAGCUAUGUUCGGAAAAGAUAACCGCUGAAAGCAUCUAAGCGGGAAACUUGCCUCAAGAUGAGAUCUCACUGGGAACUUGAUUCCCCUGAAGGGCCGUCGAAGACUACGACGUUGAUAGGCUGGGUGUGUAAGCGUUGUGAGGCGUUGAGCUAACCAGUACUAAUUGCCCGUGAGGCUUGACCAUAUAACACCCAAACA
rnacentral:rRNA from 1 species